CUGUGUGGAGCAUGAAGAUCUUUAUUUUUUAUUCCUAAAGCUCUGAUUCAUGCAGAAGAGAAAAGAAUAAAAAUAAAACAACAUAAAAUCCCAUCAUAAACCAGUCUUAAGGUAACAAAGGUGGUAUAGCAGACAUUUUAGACUCUGCAAAUAUUUGUAUACAUUUGUAGACGAGCACACUUUUAGCUCUUUAUCAGCAUUUUACACAAACAUAUAUUCACAUACUAAAGCAUUUGAACAAGUGUAUAUUUUCAAAUCCAUGUGAAGGUGAUUUUAACAAUGUAUUUAUAGUUUCCAACCAGGUCAUUUUUGUUGCUUUCACCAGUUUCUCCAGCUUUGAAAUUUUUAACUUCUAUUAGAAUUAGAAAUCAUUUCUGCGCUCAGGAAGUUUCUCAGGUUUAUUUUGUAAUAAGAGUCCGACCAAAUUAAUGAAAUCAUCUUUUUAGCUCAUGAAUAAAAAACAUUUUCCAGCCAGGACAAAGAAAGUCGGCGAGUCUCUCACAGUUCAGGUUAAAUGUGGAGUAAAACAGUCAAAUAAAUAUUGGAGAUCAUGGAGGAAAGCAGCUCUUUGUGAGGCUGUGGACCCUCUUCAUACGACCUCUCUGUGACCUUCUGUGACAUCAUGCUGCUGUGGAUCAGCUUUACAUGGAUAUACAACAACACCCAGUCUGUGAAUGGAGAUUAUGAGGAAGCUUCAGACUCAAACUACACAAGUCCUCCAUACAGUCCAGGUCACAGUCUGAUGACCCUUUAUUCAUAAAACUUUAUUUCUAACUCCAUCUGAACAUUAAGCUUUGAUUACGUUCUGUUUUGGACAUGGACAGCUGGAGACAGCUCAGCUGAAUAGUUUAUUCUUGGUAACUCUAAGCUCACUGGCUGAGGUUGUAUAGUUGGUGCAACCUCUGGUGUAAUGUCAGGAUGAGUCAGGGUCACAUCAAACUCUUAGACAUUGCUGACUGCAUGUCACCUGCAGUGAUGAUGACUCGAGUGGGUUCACACAUGCAGUAUAAUUAAUGUUUUACAAGGUGGGAAGAGGAGGAGGGGUGGAGGACGUUUCCACGCUUUAACAUCCUGUAAACUCAAUCAGUUUCUUCUUCAUCUCAUCAAACUCUUUAACCACCUUCUGACACUGAUCAGCUGACUGGAUGAUGGCGUUUCCUAACUUCUCAUCCUGCUCAGGAGUCGGAGUAAGUCUAAUGAUACUGCCGAUGAGCAUUACUAGCUCACCCAUCACGUCCAGCACUGACAUAGAUUUAAUCAUAACUCCUUUACUCUUCUCCUUCAGUUCAGACACUUUUUUGAGGAUCCUCUGAAACUCAUCCACAUUAGUCAGUGUUUUCAGCUUGAGUUUUAGCUGAUAUUUCCUCCAACUUUUCAGAUGCCAUAUUUAUUUCUUCCAGGUUCU
ensembl:lncRNA